GGACGGGAUUGGGGAGCUUGCUCCCCAUGAGUAGUGGCGCACGGGUGCGUAACACGUAUGUAACCUACCUUUGUCAGGGGGAUAGCCUCUCGAAAGAGAGAUUAAGCCCGCAUAAAAUCACACUGUGGCAUCACAAAAUGAUCAAAUAUUUAUAGGACAAAGAUGGGCAUGCGGAACAUUAGCUAGUUGGUAAGGUAAUGGCUUACCAAGGCUACGAUGUUUAGGGGAUCUGAGAGGAUGACCCCCCACACUGGUACUGAGACACGGACCAGACUCCUACGGGAGGCAGCAGUAAGGAAUAUUGGUCAAUGGGCGGAAGCCUGAACCAGCCAUGCCGCGUGCAGGAAGACGGCCCUACGGGUUGUAAACUGCUUUUGUACGGGAAUAAACCUCCGAUCGUGAUCGGAGCUGAAUGUACUGUAAGAAUAAGGAUCGGCUAACUCCGUG
rnacentral:rRNA from 1 species